rnacentral:rRNA from 1 species
AGUGAACGCUGGCGGUAGGCCUAACACAUGCAAGUCGAACGGCAGCACAGUAAGAGCUUGCUCUUACGGGUGGCGAGUGGCGGACGGGUGAGGAAUACAUCGGAAUCUACUUUUUCGUGGGGGAUAACGAAGGGAAACUUACGCUAAUACCGCAGACGACCUACGGGUGAAAGCAGGGGAUCUUCGGACCUUGCGCGAUUGAAUGAGCCGAUGUCGGAUUAGCUAGUUGGCGGGGUGAGGGCCCACCAAGGCGACGAUCCGUAGCUGGUCUGAGAGGAGGAUCAGCGACAUGGGAACUGGGACACGGUCCAGACUCCUACGAGAGGCAGCAGUGGGGAAUAUUGGACAAUGGGCGCAAGCCUGAUCCAGCCAUACCGCGUGGGUGAAGAAGGCCUUCGGGUUGUAAAGCCCUUUUGUUGGGAAAGAAAAGCAGCAGGUUAAUACCCCGCUGUUCUGACGGUACCCAAAGAAUAAGCACCGGCUAACUUCGUG